rnacentral:tRNA from 1 species
GGGGUUGUGGCUCAGUGGUAGAGUACCUCACUUAGUAUGUGUGAGGCACUGGGUUUGAUCCUCAACACCA